AGCUUGAGGGCGCAGAUUCAAAAUGCCUGCCAGAGCAUGCGCAGCUGUGUCGGAAGCAGCCAGCAGGAGCCAUUACCGCCUCCUAGACGCCUGAGUUGCAGAUUCUCUACCUCUUCCUUUUCUAAGUGUAUGAUGCGUCUGAUUGAUUACUGCUAACCCAAGUCAAAGGUACUUAUUGAAAAGCAGUCAUUGAUAAUCCAGAGACUUCAGAAGUAACAACUAUGCAUGGAAUUUCCUAGAUUCUGAUCUACAUACAUUGAUCGGCCAGACAGAUCGCAAAGUCCCCGAAGACCACCAAGGAGCCAAUUCCGAUGCAAACACAAGAGGGUCAUUUAUUCAAGCUCGAGCAGGGCCUCACAACCGUCACCGAUGCAGUGGAUCAGAAUUGAGAGCCCCAACUCUAAAACACCAGGGAUUUUUAUAGAGAUUACAGCAAG